UCCAGGGUAGCCUAGUGGACAUGUCAUCUGCCCGGUACUGUGGGUUCGAUUCCCAUCCCUGGAC